CGUGAUCUCGCGUGAAUACGGCUGUCUCGCAAGACAGCCAUAAGCUGCCGCAUCCCCUCAACGGCUCAGACUGUUUGAGAUGCGGGUGUCUGCAGCUAACGCAACAGGUUAGAGCUGUUAAAAUGAAAAGACGGCAGUAGAAUAGCAGAGAAGUUUUAGUGUCCUCCGCAGGCUCAAAACCUGGCUCCGGUCCACAAUGUCUCAAAACAGACUCAACCAUGUUGCUGUCUGUCAUGUCCAUCAGGAUAGACUUGACUUACUGACAAGAAGUCAAUUUGCAAGCAUUUCGUGGCGGCAAAUGACAGGAGAAGAAAACAUUUUGGCUCUUUUGCCUAGGCCAUAGUUUUUCAACCUUUUGUGUGUCACGGCACGUUUGACACUGUUGGAUUACACUACAGUGCUAUCUAGCUUUUAUUUGUAUCAGUUCUACACACUAAUUUACAUUUAUCAGUUCAUUACAUCCAUUCUAAUGUCGUUUUCGUUUGCCUUCACACACCAAUCAGUUAGUGGAAAUGUUCGAAUAAUAUCACAUAGGCCUACUCGAGAUUAAAAACAAGUUACAUUUACGUUUACAUUUAGGGCAUUUAGCAGCCGCUUUUAUCCAAAGCUACUUACAAUAAGUACAUUUGUCAUAAGAAGUGCAUCAAUAUAUCGCUGUCGGUACAGAAAGGAUGUUGAUAGAACCGUUGGUGUAUAUGUUAAAAUUAUUGAUGCUGUUUUUCCCUUUAACCUUAACCUUUGCCUGUGUGUUCAUUGAGGCAUAAGAUAGGCUACAACUAAGAAAAGAAAAGGUAUUCAGAAAAUACGAAUUCAAAUUUAGAUCAAUAUUUUUCACAUGUUAUUUAUCAGUCUACAAAACUGUAUGAUAAGGCCUGCAAUUAAAUAAUUGAUUUGAUAUGUAUCAGUUCAAUACUGCCAUUCAAAAUGUGUUUUCCUUUACAAAUGUAUAUUUUUAGAAUAAUAAAAUACAUUUGUGAAUGUUUUGCAGUGUAGUUCAUUUAUGACAUAUUUCUCUUCGAACCAUCAAUGAAUCUGUCAGGUUUCCGAUAUGUGUCCCCUCCAAUGUUAAACACGUUCCUACGCCC
ensembl:lncRNA